AGGGGUGUAGCUCAGUUUGGUAGAGCGUCGGUCUCCAAAACCGAAGGUCGUCGGUUCGAGCCCGGCCGCCCCUG
rnacentral:tRNA from 1 species